rnacentral:rRNA from 1 species
AAACUGAAGAGUUUGAUCCUGGCUCAGAUUGAACGCUGGCGGAAUGCUUUACACAUGCAAGUCGAACGGCAGCACGGGUGCUUGCACCUGGUGGCGAGUGGCGAACGGGUGAGUAACAUAUCGGAACAU